UACGGGGGGGCGAAGCGUUGUUCGGAAUUACUGGGCGUAAAGGCUCGUAGGCGGCCAACUAAGUCAGACGUGAAACCCUCGGCUUAACCGGGGAACUGCGUCUGAUACUGGAUGGCUUGAAUCCGGGAGAGGGAUGCGGAAUCCAGGUGUAGCGGUGAAAUGCGCAGAUAUCGGGAGGACACCAGUAGCGAAGGCGGCACUCUGGGCCGUGACUGACGGCUGAGGAGCGAAAGCGUGGGUAGCAAACAGG
rnacentral:rRNA from 1 species